AUCCUUUUGUGGUUCGUAAGUAUGAUUAUUUCAUUUUCAUGUUAAUGUGUGAGAUCAGCAGAUCAGCCUCCCUCAAACCUUGUUACUACAUCAGCACCACAUUACCCAUCCACUGUGAAA
rfam:Chlorocebus sabaeus isolate 1994-021 chromosome 7, whole genome shotgun sequence.